rnacentral:rRNA from 1 species
GGGACACGUGGUAUCCUGUCUGAAUAUGGGGGGACCAUCCUCCAAGGCUAAAUACUCCUGACUGACCGAUAGUGAACCAGUACCGUGAGGGAAAGGCGAAAAGAACCCCGGCGAGGGGAGUGAAAAAGAACCUGAAACCGUGUACGUACAAGCAGUGGGAGCCUCUUAAUGGGGUGACUGCGUACCUUUUGUAUAAUGGGUCAGCGACUUAUAUUCUGUAGCAAGGUUAACCGAAUAGGGGAGCCGAAGGGAAACCGAGUCUUAACUGGGCGUUAAGUUGCAGGGUAUAGACCCGAAACCCGGUGAUCUAGCCAUGGGCAGGUUGAAGGUUGGGUAACACUAACUGGAGGACCGAACCGACUAAUGUUGAAAAAUUAGCGGAUGACUUGUGGCUGGGGGUGAAAGGCCAAUCAAACCGGGAGAUAGCUGGUUCUCCCCGAAAGCUAUUUAGGUAGCGCCUCGUGAAUUCAUCUCCGGGGGUAGAGCACUGUUUCGGCAAGGGGGUCAUCCCGACUUACCAACCCGAUGCAAACUGCGAAUACCGGAGAAUGUUAUCACGGGAGACACACGGCGGGUGCUAACGUCCGUCGUGAAGAGGGAAACAACCCAGACCGCCAGCUAAGGUCCCAAAGUCAUGGUUAAGUGGGAAACGAUGUGGGAAGGCCCAGACAGCCAGGAUGUUGGCUUAGAAGCAGCCAUCAUUUAAAGAAAGCGUAAUAGCUCACUGGUCGAGUCGGCCUGCGCGGAAGAUGUAACGGGGCUAAACCAUGCACCGAAGCUGCGGCAGCGACACUAUGUGUUGUUGGGUAGGGGAGCGUUCUGUAAGCCUGUGAAGGUGGCCUGUGAGGGUUGCUGGAGGUAUCAGAAGUGCGAAUGCUGACAUAAGUAACGAUAAAGCGGGUGAAAAGCCCGCUCGCCGGAAGACCAAGGGUUCCUGUCCAACGUUAAUCGGGGCAGGGUGAGUCGACCCCUAAGGCGAGGCCGAAAGGCGUAGUCGAUGGGAAACAGGUUAAUAUUCCUGUACUUGGUGUUACUGCGAAGGGGGGACGGAGAAGGCUAUGUUGGCCGGGCGACGGUUGUCCCGGUUUAAGCGUGUAGGCUGGUUUUCCAGGCAAAUCCGGAAAACCAAGGCUGAGGCGUGAUGACGAAGCACUACGGUGCUGAAGCGACAAAUGCCCUGCUUCCAGGAAAAGCCUCUAAGCAUCAGGUAACAUCAAAUCGUACCCCAAACCGACACAGGUGGUCAGGUAGAGAAUACCAAGGCGCUUGAGAGAACUCGGGUGAAGGAACUAGGCAAAAUGGUGCCGUAACUUCGGGAGAAGGCACGCUGAUAUGUAGGUGAAGCGACUUGCUCGUGGAGCUGAAAUCAGUCGAAGAUACCAGCUGGCUGCAACUGUUUAUUAAAAACACAGCACUGUGCAAACACGAAAGUGGACGUAUACGGUGUGACGCCUGCCCGGUGCCGGAAGGUUAAUUGAUGGGGUUAGCGGUAACGCGAAGCUCUUGAUCGAAGCCCCGGUAAACGGCGGCCGUAACUAUAACGGUCCUAAGGUAGCGAAAUUCCUUGUCGGGUAAGUUCCGACCUGCACGAAUGGCGUAAUGAUGGCCAGGCUGUCUCCACCCGAGACUCAGUGAAAUUGAACUCGCUGUGAAGAUGCAGUGUACCCGCGGCAAGACGGAAAGACCCCGUGAACCUUUACUAUAGCUUGACACUGAACAUUGAGCCUUGAUGUGUAGGAUAGGUGGGAGGCUUUGAAGUGUGGACGCCAGUCUGCAUGGAGCCGACCUUGAAAUACCACCCUUU